GAGACACCUUUACCUUUGUUUCCUUCCAACCCCCCCGAUUCCAGCACCCCUCCACCACCCACCCUGUGGUGGGGAGCGCAGCUGGCCUGAACCGGUGCCAUAUCUGCGAUGGACUGAGGCGGAUGUAGCAGCGGAUUGGAAAAGGCUUAAUCGCCACACAGGCCACAUAGACGUGGCUGAAUCCCAGCAUACCGGAUCCUGCAGUUGAGCUAGCAGGACACACGCUGCACCACGCCGACGGAACGACCGACUUCGGGGAACAUGACCCCGGUCUUCACCCGAGAGUGCUGGGUACUCGUGACGAGGACGUGCUGGGGCGGUUUGGAAUGAAGAGCAGGAACCGUGUGAAGUGGAAUCAGAGAAGAGUCAGCUCUUGAGAAGAGGUCACUGAAGGUCACGUUUGUUGAACAAGGUGGUUUCGAGGGGAAAGGGGGAGUAUUUCUGAGUCCCGCCGGCACGUUAAGAAGGUCAUUUGGUGUUCAACAGUGAAUCUCUAAAAAGUGUUGAUGCCGGGGUUCUACUGUAGCAUACUGAAGGUGAGCGAGCUAUGAUGAUUCUGUUAUGCCCAGUACCUAAAAACCUUAUCUAGCUUGUCAGGCUUAGGGAUGUUCUGAUUCUGACUGGAAUCCACCAUGUUAGGAGCUGCUGAGGUUGUGUGGUGCCGAUUACCAAGACGCUGCAGGUCUGGGUGAAUGUUAUUAACAAGGGUUAUUUUCUCCAGCACGAAUACCUGCUGUCAUUAUGCAAGGUCACUACCAGGAAGCAGGCGAAUGUGUGCCGGGUCUAGGAAGACAAGCCAGGGAAUACAAGGAGCAGGAUUGGCACCAUAUGGAGAAGUUGUAGAUGGCUUUGAAUGCAGAAGAACAAGGAAGAGUCACAGCAUGAAGAGGACUUGAUGUUCAGUCAAGUCAGUGCUCAGUCCAUUUAUUUAUUAAGCAAAUCUCCUAGUUAGGUAUGAAGGCAGACAGCACCGACACCAGGGGUGAUUUAGAGCCAUAGACUCAACAGAACAGCGCACUUCCGGAUUGUGGGAGGAAACCCACACACAGGUGGGGACCUGGGAACUUUCAGGAAGGACAUAGUUUGAACCCACAGCACCGACCACUGAGCCACAGGGCUGCCGCUGGUCGCUGGGCGCACCGUGUGAUCAUGCCGUGUUACGUAACACGCCCUCCACAUCAGGCCUGCUGAGGUGCGCUUCUGAAAACAUGCCGGUGCUUCUAUGAUACUAGUCAGGAAGGUGCAGAAAACUGAAAGGAGAAAUGAUGCAAUGAGAAAUUCAGCAAGUCAAAAAACAACCCUUGUGGUCUCCUGCAUUUCGAAAGCCAGCAAAGUAUUUAUAUGUUAUUUCAAUAUAUUACAUAUUAUUUAAAGAAUUGUAAUAAUUAGUACAGUGUGGUACAAGAUGUUAGACUAGAUAAUUGCAUUGUAACCAUCAUCACCGGUCACAUCUUGUAACAACCUGAAUCCUAAAACUUAUUCAGCCAAUGGUAGGGCAGUUUUAGAACUUCUGCAAUUGGCUUUCAAGGAAACAACAGUGAAAGAAGGGCUCCGCCCACUGAGGCACGACACGCUGUGAACGAAACGCCCUUCUAGGCCCUUAGUAUGAACAGCUAAAGCACAUCAGCCCAAAAUGGUAUUGUCCUGUUGGCGUGUUUGACACUUGCGUUCUGGAUCAUAUGAGUCAUAUAAUCUGCCUGGGAUAGACCAUGGCAUUCCUCCCAUUCCUGCAUGUGUGUCCAUUCGUCCAUCUGGUCACCCUCCCAACAAAGAGGAAGCAUAUCCUUUGUUAAAAUCUCCAUUUAAAUAAAGGUUAGGAAUUUUUUGACUGGAUUCCUCAGAUUUCAGAUUAGAGCUAGCUGCACCCCCAUAAGUAUCGAACCGACACCCAUGCCCUGAGCCAUAAACCCUUUGGGGGGGUUACACUCCCUGCAAACCAGCUGGGUUCAUCAGCAGUCCACCUCUUGGUGCUGUGUACUGGGAUCUGACCUGUAGAAGUCAUGGUUUCCACCUAAGUGGAGCUGUCCAGAUUACAGCCUCGUUCCAAACCAGCAUCAUCCUGCACAACUGUUGAGCUCCCAGUCAGAACCGAGUAAUGGAACAGAUCCCAAACUGUACUCAGAACUGUCAGCCUUUACCUACCAUGGAACGCCACAAUCAUAUUUAAUUACCACUAUUCAAAGAAGAGGAAAAAAAGUUAUUAUAAUAAUCUAAUGUUCCUAAGAUAACCUAAUUUUCUUUAGUUUGCUGUGCUUCUCAAGUGAUUUUUAUAUUAAAAAGUAUAUAUAUAUAUAAUUAAAAUUGUACUGUGAAGAAAAUUGUGACUUUGAUGCAGAUGUAGAUUCUGUGAAGUAAUUACUGGUUGUAAACAUUAAUUGUACAGGGAAUGACCUCUGUAAUUUCAUUUUGUUCCAAAAUGUAGCUUAAUAACCUUCUGUAAACUACUUUUCAGGACUCAGCAUAUCAAAUACCUUGAUGCAGAAUAUCUCAGUCAGUAGGUUGCACACACUUAAAUAAUUGUAUAUUCAACCUGAUUUGUGAGGUUGUUAUUAAAUCACCAAAACAAGAGAAGAGACCUUCA